ACGGGUGUGGUGUAGUGGUAACAUCGUAGCUUCCCACGCUACGGCCCCGGGUUCGAUUCCCGGCACUCGUA
rfam:Galdieria sulphuraria unplaced genomic scaffold scaf_19, whole genome shotgun sequence.